GAAAUGCGAUAAGUAAUGUGAAUUGCAGAAUUCAGGGAAUCAUCGAAUCUUUGAACGCACCGUGCGCUCCUUGGUAUUCCUUGGAGCAUGCCUGUUUGAGUAUCAUGAAAUCUUCAAAGUAAAUCUUUUGUUAACUCAAUUGGUUUCUACUUUGGUAUUGGAGGUCUUUGCAGCUUCACACCUGCUCCUCUUUGUUCAUUAGCUGGAUCUCAGUGUUAUGCUUGGUUCCACUCGGCGUGAUAAGUUAUCUAUCGCUGAGGACACUGUAAAAGGUGGCCAAGGUAAAUGCAGAUGAACCGCUUCUAAUAGUCCAUUGACUUGGACAAUACUUUUAUGAUCUGAUCUCAAAUCAGGUAGGACUACCCGCUGAACUUAAGC
rnacentral:misc_RNA from 1 species